AUUGAACGCUAGCGGGAUGCUUUACACAUGCAAGUCGAACGGCAGCGCGGACUUCGGUCUGGCGGCGAGUGGCGAACGGGUGAGUAAUGUAUCGGAACGUGCCCAGUAGCGGGGGAUAACUACGCGAAAGCGUAGCUAAUACCGCAUACGCCCUACGGGGGAAAGCAGGGGAUCGUAAGACCUUGCACUAUUGGAGCGGCCGAUAUCGGAUUAGCUAGUUGGUGAGGUAACGGCUCACCAAGGCGACGAUCCGUAGCUGGUUUGAGAGGACGACCAGCCACACUGGGACUGAGACACGGCCCAGACUCCUACGGGAGGCAGCAGUGGGGAAUUUUGGACAAUGGGGGCAGCCCUGAUCCAGCCAUCCCGCGUGUGCGAUGAAGGCCUUCGGGUUGUAAAGCACUUUUGGCAGGAAAGAAACGUCGCGGGCUAAUACCCCGUGGAACUGACGGUACCUGCAGAAUAAGCACCGGCUAACUACGUG
rnacentral:rRNA from 1 species